GUUGAACGCUGGCGGCAGGCCUAACACAUGCAAGUAGAACGACUGGCGGACGGGUGAGUAUUAUCAGGGAAAAUGCCUGAUGGAGGGGGAUAACUACUGGAAACGGUAGCUAAUACCGCAUACCAUCAGAUGUUCUCAGAGGGGAUUAGCUAGUUGGUGGGGUAACGGCUCACCAAGGCGACGAUCCCUAGCUGGUCUGAGAGGAUGACCGGCCACACUGGGACUGAGACACGGCCCAGACUCCUACGGGAGGCAGCAGUGGGGAAUAUUCCACAAUGGGCGAAAGCCUGACGGAGCCAUGCCGCGUGUAUGAAGAAGGCCUUCGGGUUGUAAAGUACUUUCGGCGGGGAGGCGGUACCCGCAGAAGAAGCACCGGCUAACUCCGUGCCAGCCGCCGCGGUAAUUC
rnacentral:rRNA from 1 species